UGAAACAUAUUUUAGAAAUGUCAAAUUAAUAUUCAGUAGCAUUUGUUUCCUGCAAUUGUUUUUUGUCAUUGCAUACGUAAGCAUGAUGAUUUUUCCUGCACUUAUCGUAAUUUUCAUAAUUGAUAGAGUAAAGCUUCACAAAUUUUCAAAUCACCAGCAAGGCGUUGUGUCGUCGCAAUCAGCGGAACCUGUACUGAUAAAGAAGGAUUUGAAUCCAAAAUGUUCUGGGGCUUGGUGGUUCAACAAGUGCGCAACUUUUGACCUGAAUGGCAAUUAUUUCAUUGGGAAACCAGACAAAGAACACCGCGGUGUCUACUGGCGUUCUUGGAAAGGAAGCAACUACUCCCUUAAAAACUCUGUGAUGAUGCUGAGAAGAUUAUAAUAAACUGUAUUAUAUAAAAUCACAUAGUAAUCUUAAACUACUCCUUUUAUUAUUUCGUGUUUAAAAGAAAACUGUUCGAUUUCUAAGAAGCUACAGUGAUGUUUAACACCAUUUUCAUUUUAGGAAAAGAUAAUUAUCAAGCAUCAGACAAUUGCAUGAAAAAUAUUCUUGUAAAGUGAAUAAAACUGAAAAUUUG